CCAAUAGCGUAUAUUAAAGUUGUUGCAGUUAAAAAGCUCGUAGUUGAAUUUCGGGGUUAGUAAGUUGGUCGUGCCUAUGGUAUGCACUGGCUUUACUGAUUCCUCCUUCUCGAAGAACUGUAAUGUCAUUAAUUUGGUGUUGCAGGGAAACAGGACUGUUACUUUGAAAAAAUUAGAGUGUUUAAAGCAGGCUAACGCUUGAAUACAUUAGCAUGGAAUAAUGAAAUAGGACGUUUGAUCCUAUUUUGUUGGUUUCUAGGAUUGACGUAAUGAUUAAUAGGGAUAGUUGGGGGCAUUAGUAUUCAAUUGUCAGAGGUGAAAUUCUUGGAUUUAUUGAAGACUAACUACUGCGAAAGCAUUUGCCAAGGAUGUUUUCAUUAAUCAAGAACGAAAGUUAGGGGAUCGAAGACGAUCAGAUACCGUCGUAGUCUUAACCAUAAACUAUGCCGACUAGGGAUCGGAUGAUGUUAAUUUUUUAAUGACUCAUUCGGCGCCUUACG
rnacentral:rRNA from 1 species